UAUCUAUGACUUUAUUCAGAUGUCGUUGUCUUUAGAAUUAGAUGCGACUGUCAUACAAGUGAGAGGUUUAGAUAGAUUUGAAACCAGGUUUAAUCCACAAUUUUCUACAUAAGAAAGUGCCUGACCAAAUAGAGAAUAUGACAGUUGUUAUACAUUCGUUUGAUGUGUUUGAGCUUUUGAUUUUGCCAUUUGAUAAGGGACUUUCCUUUUUGAAUUUUCAUCGGAGUUCAGUAUUUUUGUGAUUUUACUUUUCACACAAUCGUGUGGUGCGAGUAUCGUUUAUAUAUAUUCGAGGCUAGCAAAUAGUUACUGGAAGAUGUUCGUUUUCAUUGCCUAUGCAUACUUACAGUGAGAAUCUGAGAUUGUUCAAUGUUGUUGCUCUGGGAGUCUUUUUUUUUUUGUUCCAAUGUUUCUCAAUAUUUCUAUUGUUUUAAAUCAUUUUGCAGCGAGAUAUUUCAAACGCCUUAUCGUUAUUUUGUCAUGUUAAUCAUUCAUUAACGUUUUCAUAUUUUCUCUGUUCUUACCAUUUAAGAUAACUUCUUUCUUUCCCACUGACAUUGUUUAUCUUUCGGAUAACAAUCAAAGUUUUACCUAUUAAACAUCCGCGUACAAUGAGGGCAACACAGACAACAAUAUAUUAAUUAAUUUGCAUUAAAAUAAUUGAGCUUUAUUUGUCAGUCUCCACUUAUCCAUAGUCUUAGGAUGAAAAUU
rnacentral:lncRNA from 1 species